AUUGAACGCUGGCGGCAGGCCUAACACAUGCAAGUCGAGCGAGCGGCGGACGGGUGAGUACUGUAUGGGGACUGCCCGAUAGAGGGGGAUCACUACUGGAAACGGUGGCUAAUACCGCCUACUGUCGGAUAACCAAUAGUGGAUGAGCUAGUAGGUAAGGUAAUGGCUUACCUAGGCGACGAUCCCUAGCCGGUCUGAGAGGAUGAUCAGCCAAACUGGGACAGAGAAACGGCCCAGACUCCUACGGAGGCAGCAGUGGGGAAUAUUGCACAAUGGGCGCAAGCCUGAUGCAGCCAUGCCGCGUGUAUGAAGAAGGCCCUAGGGUUGUAAAGUACUUUCAGUCGGGAGGCGUUACCGACAGAAGAAGCACCGGCUAACUCCGUGCCAGCAGCCGCGGUAAUAC
rnacentral:rRNA from 1 species